GAGGGUCGCAACUGCUUCCUCCCUCAGGCCAAAUCUGGCUCGGCUAUGCGAGAGGAAACGCUGCCAGGUCUCUAGCAGCAAGGAGUAGGCAAGAGAAGCCAUGUUCAGAAGAACAGUUCAUUUUCUACAGUGUUCCAUUCAUGUUCAGAAGAAGGUUAUAGAACUGUUAAUACAGACAUUUCAAUCUAAAUACAGCAGAUAUAGAAGACUGAAAGAAACACACAAGUUCACUGACUAAAAAUAUCUUAUUAUUAUUUUAUUUAUGUAUUACAGAUUGAUUUAUUUUCUUAUUAAUUCUUAAUUUGUUUAUUCAUUUUUCAUAUUUUGUGUUAAAAAAUAAAAAUAAAGAGAUUUGAGAAGAUUGGAAUUUUUUAACCAUGCCUUUCUUGUGGAAAACCUAAUGCGGCCCAGCCUCACCCAGACUCUGCCUGCAGCGGCCCCCAGCUAAAUUGAUAAGAGAGGGUACGACCUCUCUCAUGGCCCCAAGUGGUGUGUGCAUGCCAGAGCACUCUGGAAGGCACACAGAGUCUUUACAGACUACUCAGGAUCAAACCUCUAUCAUUAUGCAAUCGAUUAUACAACUCUAAGCAUAUAUGAGUAAAUAUUUCUAAGCAUAAAUGACAAUCAACAAUAUAAACCUUACAGCUGGUUUUAAUAACAGAAUUCAUUUGUUUCUCAAACGAGAAAGAGCUAUCGAGAAACACUCCUAAAUCUUUAGUUCUUAACUUUUCCAGUGGGCCAAGGUCAACAUUAUCUGCUAAUGCUAAAUAGGCUGCCGUUAUUAACUAAUGCUAAUUUGACAUGAAUUAGCAUUAUGCACUAAUGCUAACACUUACUUUUUUUAAAAAUGUGAGUAGCUAAUGCUAACACUAUUUCCCUUAACUUUAUAACAAUGUGAACGGCUAAUGCUAACACUCUUUUUCCUAGCAUUAUAACAUCUGAGCUGCUAAUGCUAAGUAGGCUGCCAUUAGCACCUACGUCUAAUUUAAGGCAAAUACGCAUUAGAACCUAAUGCUCAUAUCGUUUUCCUUUGCUUUAUAACAAUGUGAGCAGCUACUGCUAAAUAGCAUUAGCUAAUAA
ensembl:lncRNA